UGGGGAAUCUUGGACAAUGGGCGAAAGCCUGAUCCGGCAAUAUGGCGUGAGUGAAGAGGGCAACGCAGCUUGUAAAGCUCUUUCAUCGAGUGUGCGAUUGUGACAAGACUCGAA
rnacentral:rRNA from 1 species